AUCUUUAGAGGUUUCCUACUUUGGAAACUUGAAGAGAACCUAGGAGCACUCAUUCUAUCAAAGUGGAGGAGGCAAGGAGGGAAGCUAGGCUCAAGGAUUUCAAGGAGCAAAGGGCUUGGAGGUGGUCCAUCCUUGGUCUCAAGUCUAGAUCAAGAGGUAUAAGACUAACCUUCACUUUGUUCUUGAUUCUUUAAAAUGUUUUGAUGCAUUAUAUAUAAACCUAUGAACCUUGAAGGGGAUUUGCAUGACUAUAACUUUGAUAAUAUGUUAUAAAUGCUUCCGCUGCUUUCGUAUAUUCAAUAUGAUUUGUAUAUGCAUGAUAGUCUAUUUGAAAUCCCAUUCUAGUAUCUCAUAAUUUUCCCUUCAAGUGGUAUCAGAGCCAAUGGUUUAUGUAUAAUGUGUCCUUUUGGAUUUUAUGCAUAUGGGUAUUAAUAUUAUGCAUGACAUAAUUAUUGUUUCAUUCAAAGUAUGUUUAUCUUUUGUUUUUCAAUAGUUGAAAAAUGUUAGUCAAAAGUUGAGAAAGAUAUGUUUGCAAAAGUGUUUUGUAUGCAUGAAUGAAAAAUGAGUUUAAGACUAGUAUGACAUAUUAUUUCUUCAUUUGAAAGUAUGCUUAUCUUUUGUUUUUCAAUGGUUGAAAAAUAUAAAUCAAGAGUUGUAAAAGAUAUGCAUGUAAAAGUUGUUUUGUAUGCAUGAAUGAAGAAUAAGUCAUGAACAAAAUUUGUGGUUUUGUUACUUAGGGUAGGCACGGUUUUGGGGUGGUUUUGAGCAUGUGUUUGUGUUUUAUUGUAAGACACUCACACAUCAUUUUAAAGCUAGAAAGUAGAAACCUUGUCACUUUUGUUUUUGGGUUUGAAAAAUCACCAAGAAAACACAAAUCUUGAAAAAGUGUUCAUGGUUUUGUUCUUGGUGUUCAUAAUUGGGUUUUGGGUGAAAAUGGUUUUAUUUGGUUUUCAUGCAUGGUUUUAUGGUUUUGGGUGAUGUUCUUACCAUCCAUAACUAUAUUAAAACUUAUUAAAACCCUAGACUUGUCUAGGAGAUUUCCAUCAAACUUUUUCAUUAAAGCCAUUCAAUGCCAAAACCAAGUGACAAGCAAAAUUGUGAUUUUUUCUACUUUGCAUUAAAUUUGUGCAUGUGGAUGAGACUUCCCCUUCCCCUUUAAUGGCCGGCCACCCUAGUGGAUUUAUCCACUUGAGGGGUCUUUUGUAAUCUUUGAAAAGUUGAUAUUUUAUACUUUUGAGUAUUUACGUUUUUACCCCUAACUUUUCAUAUUUACAUUUAGGCCCUUACUAACUAGAAAGUUAAAAUAUUUGAUUUUAAUUUUGUUAGUUGUUUAAACUCAUAAUUAUAUUAUGCCCAUAUGCACUAAAUCUAAAUGUCUAUGUUGCAUUCCUUUAUGAUUAUUUAAAUGUGUUUAAGUAGUUAUGAAAUAGAUGAUUUUGGACUUAUGCCUUAAACGAUAAUUGAGCUAUAUGAUAAGGCGCUAAAAUCAAAUUGUUUGAACCUUGGGAAUGUGUUUUUUAAUUACUGUUUAAUUGGACCUUGUCACGUUUGACGUUAAUCUAUCUCUCCCCUUUUAGUACAUGUAAUUUAUAGGAAUUUGUACAAAUCGGUUUGUAAUUCUUAUUACUUCUUAAUCUCUAUUCGUUAGUUGAUUCCCUCUAGUGCUAGACUAGAGUUUCUUUAACUAUUGGUAAGGACACAUAAUUAAAAGAGGGUUUUGACAUGAGAUUAAAGAUUAAAAGGGUCCAAUGCCCAAAUUAGCAAUGGAUGAUUGUCUUUCAUUUCUAAUGGCUCAAUGAAAAUGGUUUUAAUUGGAUUGAUAAGCACGUAAUUAAAUUGACACCACCUCGCCGAGUUUAUAUUCAACAAUGUUGGCUCGUUGUUGCAAUAACCUAAUAAGUCCAUGGUCAUCCAAGAGCCUAAGAUAACUAUAAAGUUCAAUUUCAAAGGAAUGCAAAAACCGUAGUAAUAGUAGUUACUUCCAAUAUUUGAAAAAAUUCGUUUUUGAUAUUGAUUUGUUUUUCUUAAAACAAAUAGUGGGAGUAUCAUACGCUACUAAACUAUAAUGAAUUCAAUUAGUAGUUAUAUAUAUCUCCAAUAUUAUGAAAGAUGUUUUGAUUUUGAUUUGUUUUAUGAAAACGAAUAGUGGGGAUAUCAUAUGCUACUAAUUUCAUUAACUUUGGACUAGUAGUUAUAAUAGGACAAUUUAUUUGAAUAUGAUUAAAUAAAUAAAAUUGAUGAGACCUUAAAAUCCCUCAACCAAACAAUAUUAAGUUGUAAGCGUAAGAGUGC
rnacentral:lncRNA from 1 species